rnacentral:rRNA from 1 species
GACGAACGCUGGCGGCGUGCUUAACACAUGCAAGUCGAACGGAGUGGCGAACGGGGGAGUAACACGAGGGUGACCUGACCCGCACUUCGGGAAAAGCCCGGGAAACUGGAUCUAAUACCGGAUAGUGUGGGAUGGGCCCGCGGGUUAUCAGCUUGUGGUUGGGGUAAUGACCUACAAAGGCGGCGGCAGGUAGCCGGCCUGAGAGUGUGGACGGCCACAGUAGGACUGAGACACGGCCCAGACUCCUACUGGGGGCAGCAGUGGGGAAUAUAGCACGAUGGGCGGAAGCCUGAUGCAGCGACGCCGCGUGGGGGAUGUCGGCCUUCGGGUUGUAAACUCCUUUCUCCAUCGACGCGGUAGAUGGAGAAGAAGCACCGGCUAACUACGUGCCAGCAGCCGCGGUAAUUC